rnacentral:tRNA from 1 species
GCGGGUAUCGUAUAGCGGCAAUAUGUGUCCUUCCCAAGGAUAAGCUACGGGUUCGACUCCCGUUACCCGCUCAA